CACCAUGCCUGGCUAAUUUUUGUAUUCUUGGUAGAGACGGGGUUUCACCACGUUGGCCAGGUUGGUCUCGAACUUUUGACCUUGUGAUCCACCCACCUCGGCCUCCCAAAGUGCUGGGAUUACAGGCGUGAGCCACCAUGCCCGGCCUACUUGUUUUUCUGAUCAAUUACAUUUUCCUGCCUGAUGUCCUGCUUUCGAGCAGCUGGGUAGAUACACAUGAUGUGCUCUGUGGCCGCAGGGUGCUCCCAUAGGAAGAGUGAACCUGGAACCUUAACUGUAGUCUCAUCACAUAGUAGCAGACUAACUGGCUAGACAAAGAGUGUAUAAAUUAUUUUAUAGGCCAGGCGCAGUGGCUCACUCCUGUAAUCCCAGCACUUUGGGAGGCCAAGGCGGGCGGAUCACGGGGUCAAGAGAUCGAGACCGGCCAGGCGCAGUGGCUCAAGCCUGUAAUCCCAGCACUUUGGGAGGCUGAGGCAGGUGGAUCGUGAGGUCAGGAGAUCGAGACCAUCCUGGCUAACACGGUGAAACCCCGUCUCUACUAAAAAUACAAAAAAUUAGCCGGGCAUGGUGGCAGGUGCCUGUAGUCCCAGCUACUAGGGAGACUGAGGCAGGAGAAUGGUGUGAACCUGGGAGGAGGAGCUUGCAGUGAGCCGAGAUCGCACCACCGCACUCCAGCCUGGACGACAGAGUGAGACUGUGUCAAAAAAAAAAAAAAAAAAUCAAGACCAUCCUGGCCAACAUGGUGAAACCCUGUCUCUACUAAAAAAUACAAAAAAAUUAGCUGGGGGUGGUGACACAUGCCACUAGUCCCAGCUACUCAGGAGGCUGAGGCAGAAGGAUCGCUUGAACCCGGGAGGUGGAGGUUGCAGUGAGCCAAGAUCAUGCCACUGCACCCCAGCCAAGCAACAGAGUGAGACUACAUCUCAAAUAUAUAUAUAUAUAUAUAUAUAUAUAUAUAUAUAUAUAUAUAAAUAAUAUUUUUAUUUUAUAAAAUAUUUAUUAUAAUAAUUCCUACUAGCUGUAAUAGGAAUUCCCAUUUAUGAGCGGUUAUGAUCUUUUCUAGUUUAUCUCUCCCCUAAAGAUUUCAACAAAGAGUAUAUUUGCUUGGGAAAUUUUAGAGUUUUGGGUUCUGUAUAAAUCACAAGAUUUGUACUGCUCACAAUGAUGGAAACUAACUGCAUUGGGUCAGUAAUUUGGCUCACAGAGUUGAUCAUCUAUAUUCUAAUAAUUAAAUGUCACCAAAAUAUUUAUUUAAUGAUUUAUAUUAGAAUUGAGAAUGAUACAAUAUCUUACUUUAGAUAUGAAAAUUUGGCUGGGCGCAGUGGCUCACACCUGUAAUCCCAACACUUUGGGAGGCUGAGACAGGAGGAUCCCUUGAGCCCAGAAGUUUGUGAUCAGUCUGGACAACAUAGUGAGACCUUGUCUCUACAAAAAAAAAAAAAAGAAUAAAUUAGGGAAAAAAAGAUGAAAAUUCACUUUUAGCAGUCGACUGUUUUAGAAAAGGUGCCUAAUAUAUGUUAGAGUCUGUGUUUAAAGUGUGAAAGGAAAAUAAAAACGUAAGACCCCCAACUCACUCUGCCAAAAGAAAAAAAAUUAAGCUGAAAGCUGAGUCAUGCAGAAAGCUGCCUUUCCUUUUGUUCCUAAGCAGAUAGCUACAGAUAAAGGGUUAAAUAUUUCCACAGGUAGCUACUUUAUAUUCACCUUAUCUUAUGUAAAGUGCCAAUUUACUGAGUGGAAAGAGAUAUUUAAUGUAUCAUUGCCUAAUCCCCCCCCUGCUCCUUUUAUCCUGCAAUGUGGAUUCAGUAAUGUGACCAUACCCUCCUCCUCUUCACUCCAGCCCUCUUUUCCCCUUUAAAUAUUGAAGCCCUCAAAAUCAUCUUUGGAGAGAGACACAGACCUGUCUCUCAGGUAUGUCCUUAACCUUGGCAAAAUAAACUUCUAAAUUGAUUGAGACCUGUCUCAGAUACUUUUUGGUUUGCAAAAGGUUUUCUUUUAUCCUCAUCACAGUGAUAACAAAUUUGUUUCAAUUCAGGAAGGACAUACAAGUACAAUUCAGACUCUCUUAUCCUUGGGAGCUGACAUCAAUUCUAAAGAUGAAAAAAAUCGAUCAGUAGAGACAGGGUUUCACCAUGUUGGCCAGACUGGUCUCAAACUCCUGACCUCAAGUGAUCUGCCCACCUCGCCCUCCCAAAGUGCAGGGAUUACAGGCAUGAGCCACCGCGCCUGGCCUAGUGGGAUCUUUCUGAUGCUUCAAAGACUCGCAGGUACCUAACUACUCACUCUAGGGCUGGAAAGGGCAGCUGCUCUGCCCAGGAAGGGACACAGCUUCUCUGCUGGAGGGAAAGCAGCAGAAUCACCAGUGCCCCUGAACUCAGCACACCAGGAACCUCAGUGCUGAUUUCUGCACCCAGAGUGGGAAGCUUGUUCAAAAGUGUUUUUUUGGCUACGUGAUUAUUUGUGGUGAUAUUUUUACUUACAAAGCAAAUUCAAUAAGCCUUUUAGAAAGUUUUUUGUACCAUUUAAAGUGUGUUUCCAGAGCAUUCAGGCGUAUGAAGAGGAUGUAUCCUAUAUCUUGUUAACUUGCUCUGUUGCUUCUUGCUUUAGAUAAGUUUCUUUUUCUUUUUUUUUUUUUUUUGAGGCAGAGUCUUGCUCUGUCACCCAGGCUGGCGUGCAGUGCUCACUGCAACCGCCACCUCCUGGGUUCAAGCGAUUUUCCUGCCUCAGCCUCCCGAGUAGCUGGGAUUACAGGCAUGCAC
rnacentral:lncRNA from 1 species